rnacentral:rRNA from 1 species
UAAGACGAACCGUACGAACGUUAUUCGGAAUCACUGGGCUUAAAGGGUGCGUAGGCGGCGGCGCAAGUUGGGUGUGAAAUCCCUCGGCUCAACCGAGGAACUGCGCUCAAAACUGCGUUGCUUGAGGGAGAUAGAGGUGAGUGGAACUUAGGGUGGAGCGGUGAAAUGCGUUGAUAUCCUAAGGAACACCAGUGGCGAAAGCGACUCACUGGGUCUCUUCUGACGCUGAGGCACGAAAGCUAGGGGAGCGAACGGGAUUAGAUACCCCGGUAGUCCUAGCCGUAAACGAUGAGCACUGGGUUGAAGGGUCCUCCAUAGCCCUUCAGCCGUAGCGAAAGUGUUAAGUGCUCCGCCUGGGGAGUAUGGUCGCAAGGCUG